GCUGGGUGUGGUGGUGCACGCUUAUAAUCCCAGCUACUUGGGAGGCUGAGGUGGGAGGAUUGCUUGAACCCAGGAGAUGGAGUUUGCAGUGAGCCGAGAUCGUGCCACUGCACUCCAGCCUGGGCAACAGAGCGAGACUCCGUCUCAA
rnacentral:sRNA from 1 species